AAAUGAAUGACACCAACAGGAGAACAUGUGUUAGAGAUGUGAGCAAUUAGUUAAUAUAUUACAAGUUUCAACCUCGGAGCAAAACAGGCAACAAAAACUUCCGCCUGACAAAAGGCUACAGAUAAGAUCAGCUUGAUUCCCAGACAAUAUGAUCUGCCUGAAUUGGGGCAACCCUCCAGCAGGCUGGGAGGGAGGGAUGAUCCCGGGAUUCGGGGCUUUGUAGGGUUGGAGCCCCCAGACGAGGUCGGUCCCCGCUUUGCCUGGAAAAGCUGGCUUGGCUGCUGAACUCUCCCAGUGGAGACAAGUAGGGUCUAAAAUGAAGGAAGAUAUCCUGUGCUCCAUGGAUCCGGCUCACCAAGCUAAGCUGCCUGCUCCCUGCUGGAGCUUCAGAAGGAAAUUUAGAAGGUCGAAAGAAAUCAUAUUGCUGUUUUCAAAGGAAAAGAGAUGCCUGCAAAAGGUGAUGAGGGGCGGGGGCUGCUUUAUGGGCGACUGCUUUUCCUUUGCUUGUCAGAGAUUUAAAAAACUAAAUAUUGUACAUUGUAUAGUUUCCCUCUCUCUCUCCCCCUCUCUGAUUCUUUCCCCUCUCUCUCCCCCCACAUAUAUGUAUAUACACUAUCCAUAUACAACACACACACACAUGCACACAUACAGAAAAGAUGUUUUAAGCAAAAAAUUCCUCCCACAUAUAUACAUGUCCAGAAAUACAUUUUAAGCCAAAGUACACAUGAUGUGUACUUGGGCUAAGGAUUUGAAUAGGUCCUGUGGAAAUCCCAAGGAAACACCGAGAAUACAAGAAAAAAAGAAAUGAAAACCUGAGUUCACCAACUCCAUAAAUGUAAAAAACAAAAAAAUUUGUAGACAGUUAAAAAUGUCCGCCCGUGUACACACGCACACCUACACUUUCACACUUCCUCUGUUUACUAAAUAACAUUUCAGCACAGUUUUCAUCUUAUAAGGAAAGUGUUUGAAACUUGGAAUAAGUGCACUUAAUUAAAGGAAGGCUGUGAAAAUGUGCACUAAUCUGAUAUGACUAAUAGCAAAGUGCAUGAAAUUGCUAAUUAGAAUUUCAUUAAAGGUGCUGCUUUAUCAGACUGUGAAUAUCACAACCUUUAAAAUUCUUUCAGGAGAGCUUAAUUCCUUUUCAAACAGAAAUAUUCUUUAAAGACAUUUGAUUUGUUCUGAAGGAAUUCGUGGCUUAGGCUGGAACUUAAAAUGUUCGGAUAUUCCAGGAGGUGCUAUCAGAAUAGGAAUAUAGAUCAGGGACUUUGUUUCAUUUGCCUGAUGAAUCCCUUCCUCCCCCAUCUCUAUGGAUUAUUCUUCAAAAACCCAGUCAUGAAAAUAGAGUUGAGUCCUUGGUUUGAUCCACUUGUCAUUUGUUUUCUGCUGAGGCCAAACGGUUAUUUUCCGUCUCACACACAAAAGGGAAAAAUGACUUUAAAAAAUUUUAAGCCACUGGAAAUGAAAGCAAACCUUUUAACUCACACAUUCAUUAAAGAAAUGAAAGAGCACAGACAAUAAAAUAGUUUUUUAAGGGAAAAGGCCAUUCACUAAAAAAAUGUCAGCAGCUUUCACUCUUUAAAGAAAAAAAAAAAACCUCUUAAAUACUGAUAACAUUUCAACCACAAAAUUGCAUUUUUAAAAUUAGGAAAAGCCAGUGCUAACUACAGCAAAUGCAUUUUCACUCCUUUUUUGACUUGCUUUUUCUAGGUCAUAAGUUUUCUUAUUUCACAUUCUAAUUAUUCUCGGCACUAAAUCUGCAUUUCAGCUUUUCUUUAUUUUUUAUUUUAUUUUACUUUACUUUAUUUUAUAUUUUAUUUUAUUUUAUUUUAUUUUAUUUUAUUUUUUUGCUACUCAGAUUUAAAAAUUCUACCUUUCUGGUCAUCUUUUCUGUUCUCAACCUUAUUUUCUGUGACUCCUCUUCAUUUUCAGAUGCAUCAAGUUGCUAUAGUAUGUUGUUCUCCCUGCGCACAACUCUGGAUGUUACCAAUUGUAUUUCUGUUAUUUGCUGUCUUUCCUGAUGGUUCGAGAGUUCUUACAAUUGGUAACUGGGCUCUUUUCAAUAUUCAGGCUUGAUUGAACAGUUACAUUUUGUUACUGAAAAACUAUUAAUGCUAAUGGAAACUACAGCUCACUCGAAGCGGCAGUUUACUUUUACAGAAGUUGUUAAAAACUCAGCCUGGCUUCAAAUUUGCUGAACACACAGGUUCCCGGGUGAUGUAAUUUUGCAGAAUUGAAUAUUUUAAAUACACUUGAAAAGCGUUGGUUUAAAGGCUAAUCAGUCAUGUUUACCUGCUGACCAGAUCUGAAAGGGGGGGAAUGAGAACAGAAGUAACUUUAUUUGAGGAGCAGCGUGAUUUCUUUAGACAUUGAAACAAAUCUCAAGUGAGUUAAUUACGGUUUGCUCUGAUUUUAGGUCCAGCCAGUUCAUGGCAUUUAGAUAAUUUAUCAAUUGGGCUACGUAACAGAUAAAAGGUUACGUUUUCCUUUCCAACAUUUGGGAGGUGCAUUUGUACCGUAAAUGCGACGAUUUUAAAAGAUCGGUCUAGACUUAGAUGAAUGAAAAUGAGGCUCGUUAACUGUAAUGUCUGGAGUCCGAGGUGGGGCGCAAAGCAAGCCUUGCUCUCCGUGGGCCGCCGUAGUCCAGCGAAGCUGCUAAUUCGAAUGUUUCAAGUUUCGAAUUGAGAAAUAUUGUUCUAAUAGGGCAACAAUGGGGCUGUUGUCCCGGCCCCUUACAGCUUGUUUUCUGCAAAACGAAUGGCAGGUAAUUGUGAUUUAAUUCUUUUCAAGUAAAUUACAGUGAGUGCGUGACACAAAGCCGCGGCGGACCCUCCUUUCUCUGUCAGUAGUUGAAUUAAUGGUGGCAGGAGUAAAAACAGCGAUUGUGCACAACAGCCCUCCCCGGUCCCCACCCCUGCCAAGGGGGGACCUGCCAAUCAGGCCGCGCCACCACGAGGCCGGCAAUCGUCGGGAUGCGGAGGUUCGCGGAUGGACCCUCCUGGUGUCUCGGCCCGGGGGUCACGGAGCCCGGGGCCGCCCCCUCCCCCUCCCCCCCGGGGCCGCCCCCCGGGGCCGAGGUGCCCGCAGGGGUCCGCGUCUGCGCGCUACGGGCCGGGGCGCCCCCCGCUUGGGCGCCCUGGGCUCCGUGCCCCCCGGGCUGGCCUGUAGAGCCGGAUUUGCGCGGCAGAGUUGACGGCAGAAAGGGCUCCCCGGUAACCCGGCGGUGCUGGCCGCCCCGAGAGGCGCCCCGAGGGCUCCCGGAGGAGGCGGCGUGGCCGAGCGAGGAGUGCGGGGAGGCCGAUCUUUGAGCCCCGUCUGGGCGCGGCGCUGGAUGGCUGGGGUCUGCGCGCGUCCCUGCGGUCGGAGGGGCCCGAGACCAGGGCCGCCGCGCGCGCACAGCGCCAGGUGCCGGCACCUUGGCCAGUGUCUGCUAUGUAGCAGGGGUACUCUGUAAAAACUGUAGAUGGGUGAACGGAGUCGCAUCUCCCGGCCUGCACAUCAAAAUAGUUGAACCACCUCGUGUCUAAGUGCCUACUUCUGUCGUUCAAUGAGAGGAAUUGUCAGCGUAUUAGUUAGAUUUUUUUUUUUACAUAAAAAUAAAGACAGUAAUUUUCUGAACGAGGUUCAGGUUUUCGAGAAGGCUGUCAAUUAGAGACUUUACUCGGUGUCCUGAUCUUUCCACUGUGACUAGUUUUGACCAUGAGGCUGGAGUCGGUUCUUUUUUGAGCUCUCCCUGUGGCCCCUGAACCUGGGAACGGACGGAGGGGCCUUCUGGAUUGGCUCCCCAGUCCUGACGUCUUCCCCGAUGGCCCAGGACCGCUGUAUACCUCCACCCCAGGGCGCAACUCAAUGUUGCCUCAUCUCAAGCUACCCGCUGCAUCAUGGGCCACGGGCCUUUUGUCCUCAACCUCCCCCCAGUCAGAGCUUUUCUGCUCUUUUGAUAGCCCCUCUUUGGCUUUAAUCGCAGAUUCACACCUGUCUUUCGUCCUCCCCAGAGCCAGCGCCUCUAUUAGACGGGCUCCUGCUGGGCUUGCCAGGCCACGUGAAGGAGCCAGUGAGGGCCGAGAGAGGCUGGGUGGGGCUGCCUCGGCAUCUCAGCUCAUGUUGGGGAGAUGAGUCAACUGGCUGGGGUCACCGUGUCUCCGUGCCCGAGCUGGAGCCAGGGACAGAGUAUUUCUGGUAAGCCCGGCCUGGCUCCCCAUCUCACGCUAUUUAUUUCCUCGGUGAGGUCACGAUAAACCAUGAGUAUCUCGGACAAGGUCACCAUCCUUGGCGGCCAGCUCCCAUGCCGGGGUCGCGUCUUUGGGAAAGACUUUGAGGACCGCUGGCUCUCCGGAGAGCGGAGGGGGAUGGUCUCAGAGCACACACCGAGCUCACCAAGGUCACACAGCCGGAGACGGAUGGGGUCUGAACCCGGAACUAGAGCCUGCACUCCUAAUCACCAUGCUGCGCUGAACCUCUGUCUCAGUCUCUGCCCUCCAGGGUCACGGAGCAUCAGAAGCAAAGACAGGAGGGGGGUGAGGGGCUGUGGUUCCCCGCACAGGGUGUCAGUAGUGCUACGUAAUGGCUCUUCCUAGAUCCACCAGGCCCUGUGCUAAUCGCUCUCCACACAUCACAGCACCUUAAGACGCAGGAAGUCACAUCGCCUCCACUUUACGGAUAAGACGCAGAGAGGUCCUGCAGUCUGCCCGAGGUCUCAGGGCCGGUAAAUGGCAGAACCCCCAGAGCCUCGCUCCGGGGCCCCUGCUCUGAUCCCUGCCGGGUGUAAGGAAAGCCUCAGCCUCAAAGUCCCGGUGCCCAGGAGAAUGCUGAGCCCCUUCGGUGUCACCAAAAACACCCGGCAUUUGGAGCCAGAGGACUUGGCCUCGAGCCCCGGGGCGGCUGCUUGCUAACUGAAACCCCUGGGGAGUCUCCAUUUCCUGUAAGAUGAGGGUCAUGAGGCCAGCUCUACCUGUCUUCCAGGGCCACCGUGAGGAUUAACGACGAUAAUGUCCAGGGACGUGAGCCGUGAAGCGCAAACUGCUGGCCUCAGAAAACAUUCGGUUCUGUGGGCGCUGGUCCGCGAGGUCACUGUGGGAACCAGUGACUGGCCUACCUCAAAGAUCCUGCCACACGGCCCCGGGGAAAAAUGAAGGGGGGGUUAUUUUCAUUGCGAAACAAAUGACUAUAAUGAGGUGUCUCGUUUGGUAAUACAGAUGAUUAGAGAAUUAAGUCGGUUACAGUCGGGGACUUUUUGUUUGUUGGGUUUUUUUUUUUUUUAACGUUUAUUUAUUUUUGAGACAGAGAGAGACAGAGCAUGAACAGGGGAGGGUCAGAGAGAGAGGGAGACACAGAAUCCGAAACAGGCUCCAGGCUCCGAGCUGUCAGCACAGAGCCCGACGCAGGGCUCGAACUCACGGACCACGAGAUCGUACCCUGAGCGGGAGUCGGACGAUUAACCGACCGAGCCACCUAGGCGCCCCUGUUUGUUGGUUUCUAAGAGGACUGUAUUCAAAGGCCCCUGGGCCCACACUUGGAUUUAUUUGGCUUCAUGCCAGACCCUGUGCUUGGUGCUUCCUGUGCUCACCCCCCAGGCCUUCUUAUAGUCCUGUGAUAUGAGACUGACAUUGUACCCAUUUUACAGGCCAAGCAACUGAGGGGUAGAACAACUGGGGCUAGUGAAUGGAGGGGCUGGUCCUGAAUCAAGUCGGGCUGACUCCUGUGUCGGCAUUUUUGCCACAGUUUCACAGGUGCAGGUGCAGACCUGACGUGGGCGGCGGUGGGGGGUGGGAGGGGGUGGUUCCCUCGGGUCCCCUGCUUCUGAACGUUUGGCCUUAGUUCUACCUUUGUCUGGGCGUCCACGUCCCUUAACCUCGGUGCUUUCCUAUCCUCCACCCCGCCUUCCUGAGUCUCGGGGUCCGCUGGAGGUCAACACCUUGGCCUCGUACAAAGCGCAAGGCAAGGGGACGUGCUCUCCCGUCCCCAGGGCCUCGCCCUGUGUGAAACAAUACCUCAGAGGGCCAGGGUAGCUUGAGGAGUCGUGGUGUUGCCUUGGUUCCCCUCCACGUCCGCCCCAGAUCUGCUCCUGGCCCCAUUAACCGAAUUUAUUUUGGCUUAAGUGAGGCAGUGGCUGGAGACCGUAAAACACCUACCUUCGUGAAACCAUCAGGAGGCUCGAAUGGGGUUGUGAAGGGGAUGCAGCCAUCUUCCACGGGCUGCUGGGCUCGGUCGUGGCUGGUGACACUGCUGGUGUGUCCAUGUGUCCUUGGGCGGAUUCCCACGGUCAGGCUCUGACUUCUGAGGGAGAGGGGGGCAGGCCUGGGCUGCAUGGCGGAGGCACGAGAAUGAAGGAAACGCCUUCUCUGUUUGCCUCGACUUCGUGGGUGGCCUCGAGCAACCGGAUGCUGAAUGAGUGCAGGCACGGGUCGGGGGAGGGCACGCCCACAGAACUAGUCACUAGGGUCGGGGUCCCUGUGCCCCCGCUUACUAGCUGUGGGGCCUUGGGAAAGUUGGCUAACUUCUCUGUGCCUCCAUUUUCUCAUCCAUCAAGCUGAGAUAACAGCUGGAUGAAUCUUACAAGGUCGGUGGGAGGAGCUCAUGAUGCAAUGCGUGGAAAAGCCUUCUGAAUGACGUCUGGCGCAGAGUACGUCCGUACGUGUUAGCUGACCCCAAAGUACCAGCUCAGAAUGAUCUUCUCCACUCACAUUUGCUUUCCCACUCAAAAUGCGUCAGGCACGAAAGGCACAAAACAGAGUGCCUUCAAGACUGUAUGGUGACAAGAGACAGGCGUGAGGCGUAAUUCUGGGCUCCACCGUUCACCCCCGUGUGAUCCUCUGUAAGUGGCUUAGUCUUGCGACCUUCGCUUUCCUUCCCUAUAAAAUGGAUAUCAAAUAAAAGAUCUACUAAGAGUGAGGACGAAAUGAACAAUGUGCAUAAAGUUAAUGGUAUUUCUUCUUCUUCUCUCGAUCUUUCUCCCCCCCCCCCCCCUCGUUCAAGUCCUUUUUGAAAGGCUAUGUGUUCUCCAAACCAGUUUUCCUGCCCUCCUGGGUACCUAGGAAGACCACAUUUCCCAACCUCCUUUGCAAUCAGGGGUGCCAUGUGACCGAGUUCUGGCCAGUGGAAUGUGGGCGGGAGUAACAUACGCUGCUUCCAGGCCUGGCCCCUGAAGUUUCUUGUAAGAUCUUUCAUGCACAUUUCCUCCCUCCAUCUGCCAACUGAAUGUCAGUGCUCAGGGUGACCUGGGAAGCCCCAUGCUGGAGACGGUGGAGCUCCUGUCAGCAGAGACCUGCUCUUUUUUUUUUUUUUAAUGUUUAUUUUUAUUUUUGAGAGAGAGAGACAGAAUGUGAACGGGGAAGGGGCAGAGAGAGAGAGAGAGAGAGACACAGGAGACACAGAAUCCAAAGCAGGCUCCAGGCUCUGAGCCAUCAGCACAGAGCCCGACGCGGGGCUUGAACUGCUGAACUGUGAGAUCAUGACCUGAGCUGAAAUCGGACGCUUAGCAUCCUGACCCCGGGCACCCAGCAGAGCCCUGCUCUUCAUCACCUACUCUUUAUCGGUCUGCUGGGGCUGUGACAUGUUGCAUUAGGCCAUUGAGAUGCAGGGGUUGUUACCGCAGCUAGAGGUUAGCCUAUCCUGACAUAUACAGAAUCUUACAGAACCUCUACCUAACGUAUACCCCUCCAUACAUUCAUACAGGAUUUUGCACGUAUUUGAGAGUCUUUCUGGGUCCCAGCUCCCCUUCAGCUGGUCCACGUGUCCACGUGGCCCAAGGUAAGGACCUCAACUGCCUCCAGGAAUAACACCCAGCAGAAUGUGGUGGUGAAACAGUCCUGGGAACAACUUCCCGGCUUCAGGGCCUCCCUGCAGCAGAGAGGUUCUGAAGGCAACUCCCUACUUAAGGUGGCUUAGUGGCAGCCUAGGGUCUCAGGGCAGAGGUGUCCCAAGAAGGCAUCACUAAUCAUACAGGCGCUCUCCUUCAUGCCACCGAUGCCAAAGUGCUUGCUCUCAUCCCCGUGGCACGACCAGCAGCUCUGAUGGAUCACAGGUGACAGAUCGGUCAGCAGCUCCUCCCGGCUGAGUCUCUGGGACUUUGCUCAGGGCCCCCGUGCCUGCGGCCCUGCCCUCCUGCCCUGGAGCAGACCCGCUCCUUCUGUCCUGCCCCCUCCCCUGUUAAAUUGAGCGCCCCCUGGAGGUCGGGGCUGUGUGGCAACCCUCGCCUUUCUCCUCACAGCGGCUGCAGGGUUGGGGGGCGGCAGGUGUCACUUGUUUUGCACAAGGUUGUUGAUUCCAGGGGUCAAGGACCAUCGUCAUGGCGUGCUAGAAAAGUAAAUAUUCUCAGCUUGGGCGAAGGUUAUAUUAAUUAAAAAUAACAUUAUUAUAACUAUAUUGAAUGUCUGUUCUGUUCCGGGCCCAUCUGUUAUUUCAUUAAAUCCUUCCCCAUAAUCCUAUCAGGUGAGUUUUUCAUAGCCCGUGUUCCAGGUGGGGAGGUGGAGGCGUAGAAAGGCCAGACCCGGGGUCCACAGCUGCACGAGGUGGUUUACGGGCUCAACCAAGGUCAACCCAAAGGUAAUGGGAGCAGACUUUUUCUAGGCCCCCAACGUGUGCUAGGGACCACGUCUCUCAAGUGCUUUUGAUGAAUUAUUCCAUUUAAUUCUGAUAAUUUCUUUACAGAGUGGGGACUAUCGUUAUUCCCAUUCACAGGUGAGAACACCACGGCUCAGCGAGGCUAAUUUACUCGUUUCCCCAAGGUUUCAUGGUUAAGAGAGGAGGUGCCCGGAUUCAAAUUGCAGUCACUCUUUACAGCCUGUGCCGUCCCUCACUGGGCACCCGGCAAUGCCUCCUUCUACCGCGUGGCAAGCACAGUGAGGACCAGGUAUGAUGGGGUGAUGGCGACGGCCUAGAUUAGAUCAAGAUCAGAGUCCUGGCACUAGCACUGAUUGUCAGCGUGACCUCGGUUUAAGCAAGAUCUGUAACUUUGCCGUCUCUCUACCCUGCCGGCAGAGUGAGGACAGGAGCGCCUGCCUGAUGGGGUUCUCCUGGCAAGGACUGAAUUAGUGACGCAUGUUAAGUACGUGGUUAAGGCCUCAUGCUCGGUAGCUAACGCUCAACGUAAUUUGCUUCCCAUCAUCCAUAGGAGUAAGGCUUGGAUGAGCAAGAUUAUUUGUAUUUCUAGACGAUUCUUUUACAAGCCGACCGUCUUCCAAUUUAUAGGGUUUGCACACCUGAACUGUUUCAUCACGUUUGCAUAAAGGGAGUCAAACUACUCUCUCAGAUCUCUUCUCACCCCCUAUCCUCAGAUCUAGCCUUACUGUCUGCAGAAAUGAUGUUUCUCCCUGACGCAGGCCGUCAAAAUGAUAGGGUACAAUUGGAAAGAAUAUCCGAGAAUGGCUGGCAGGGGUGAGGAGGGUGGGGGCAAGCUCGGCAGCAGGCGUAAGUGGGGCAGGCGGAUUGGCUGUUCCGAUCCUGGUUUUCCAGAUGCUCUGCGUCACGGGAGGGCUGUGCUUUGAUGCUGGAAGGGGUCUGAGGCUCGGGGUUUGGCAGCCGCAUUUCAAGGGUGGGGAGACUGAGGCCCAGAAAGGGGCAGUGACUCGCCUGAGGUCACAGAGCCAAUUAGUGAGGAAGCCAGUGACAGGCACCGGCUCCUCCUUCCUGCUUCUGCGUUCUUUCUAGUUCAGCUGGGAGUGACCUUCGGGACCUUAGAGAGGAUUUCACCCUACCUGGGAAGAGGUGGGCCACUGCCAUUUGGCCGGAGCCUUGCUCCCCCCCUGCAUUCCCAGAGAGACGAUGUGCCGUUGCCCCAAAACCUCUCUCCGGAAACAGUGGCAGUUCAGAACCAAUCUACAAAAACAGUAAGAGCUAUCAUUUCUGAGGGUUGAAUUCCAGGCACUUUAUUUAUAGUUUUCUAACCCUUUGAGGUAGGUGUUACUAGGAUUCUCAUUUUGCAGAGGAGGAGACUGAGGCUUAAGUGUUAAGUGGCCUCCCCAAAGUCACCCAGCUAGCAAGUCAGAGGUAGGGUUCGAACCACGGUUCAUUUUGACUUAUGUUCUUUUCCUGUGGCAGCACCCCACCCCCCUAUUAGACUCUGGCUUACGCUAGAAGUCUCCAGAAGGUGACACGGGGAGAGACGGAUCACUCACCUGGGGUCCAGCACUAGCCAAGUUUGGUAGGCGCCCGCCGGGAGGUGUGCCAGACCCUCACCCUGCGCCAUGAUGUUCUGUCCCCUUCCUGUCCCCCUCCCACCUGUGUCUCCUGCCGAGGACGGAUCGGUGGCUAGGGACCUGGGCUCCUCUUCACACACUCAUAGCCUCUAGUA